UUGUGUCGGGGCAGCAGCGCAGGUCUGUACAGCAACAUGGCACUGAGCAGAUGACCUUGUGACGACCGACACCUCCAGUCCGAUGACUAACAUCAAAGGGUCCUGUCCUGAAUGUGUUCCCUCCCUCUUUGGCCCUGAACCCUGGAAGAACCAUUUGCCAUGGCACUAGGCCGAGCUGGAGUAAGCCCGUGCACCAGCUGGAUGAAUUUCCGCCAUUCACGGAGUCCCCCCGAACCCUGCUGUUGACUUACGGUUCUGAUGAGACGACAGGACCUAAUGCUGUCACUGUAGCCCAU